GGGAAGAUGUCACGGGCGCACGGCGGAUGCCUUGGCGCAGGGAGCCGACGAAGGGCGCGGCAAGCCGCGAUAGUCCCCGGGGAGG
rnacentral:rRNA from 1 species